rnacentral:misc_RNA from 1 species
GAUGAAGAACGUAGCGAAAUGCGAUAAGUAAUGUGAAUUGCAGAAUUCAGUGAAUCAUCGAAUCUUUGAACGCACAUUGCGCCCGCCAGUAUUCUGGCGGGCAUGCCUGUUCGAGCGUCAUUUCAACCAUCAAGCCCCGGGCUUGUGUUGGGGACCUGCGGCUGCCGCAGGCCCUGAAAUGCAGUGGCGGGCUCGCUGUCACUCCGAGCGUAGUAGUUACAUCUCGCUCUGGGCGUGCUGCGGGUUCCGGCCGUUAAAAGCCUUAUUUACCCAAGGUUGACCUCGGAUCAGGUAGGAAGACCCGCUGAACUUAAGCAUAUCAUAAGCGGAGGA